GGAGGCACGUUGUCAAAGAACGCUCGUGGGAACUUGCUGAUCUUUAUGUAUUUAAAUUACGUUACUGAUACAAAGAUAUCAUGUAACGUAAUCACGUUCUAUCGUUCUAUCAUCAUUAGUAUUUACAGUUUGGAUCGUAUUAUCGGAGUGUCAAAUAUAAUAUUUGUCUCGUUGGUUUAAUAUUAAGGGACACAACAUUGGAACUGCGGUUUUUGACUAAUGAAAAUAAAGGAUCGUCAUGACUCUUACCAGUUCUCGUUUAAUUGUUAACGCCUAUAGAAGAGUUUGACUGUUUCGGUACGUGCAUUAUUCACACAGCAAAAUGAGGGUGCCGUACAGAGGGAAAGCUUACUGUCGCUUAGCAUGUGAGAGAUCCCAGCUACCGUCGACUGCACGUAUCGUGACUGAGUUACGAAUACGUGAGAGAGACUGCUUAAAGGUGGCCAAAGUGAACUUCUAGCAUCUAGACGAAGUCAAAGUCAUCUGGAAGGCUCCUUCGAGCCUACGAAGAGAUCGUUUAAGUUUCAACUUUUCCUUACGAAUUUCUCUUAACUCAUUAGAGAUUGAAAGGAACAUCAAGUGAUUUUUAAUAUCUUUUUUUUCUCUCUCUCUCUCUCUUUUUUUUUUUUCUUUUUUUUUUUUAAUCGAUUAUUUAUUAUUAUCUAUUUGUCGAUUGAAAAUAUAAUUAUUAAUUGAAUUUUAAAUAUCACGCUGAUAUGUUUCAGAAAAUGUGCGCAUAAUUUCAUUAGUGGUUUUAAUACGUUAAAAUGAGAAGAAAAAAGUUCAUAGAAACACGUGAAUGAUAUGACCUUCUUUUCGUUCCCGAAAGAGACACAUGGUAUAAGUCAACUGAUUUAGAAACAUUUACAUCGUAAUGUGUUUAUAAGAUUGUACGUGAGGUAUCAGAGAUUAUUUAUGAACAGUUAAAGGAAGAGAUCUGUUUAUUAAAAAAUUUAUCGAAAGACAGAUUAUUCGGUUGCAUCUUAAAAACAAGAUUACAUCUGGCGUAUAUUUAGAUGAACUUUUCUUUUUUCUUUUUUCUUUUUUCUUUUUUCUUUUUUCUUUUUUCUUAUUUUUAAUCCGUCGAAUUCAUCGGUGAAGUUAUAUCCAG